rnacentral:rRNA from 1 species
UACGUAGGGUGCAAGCGUUAAUCGGAAUUACUGGGCGUAAAGCGUGCGCAGGCGGUUUUGUAAGUCAGAUGUGAAAUCCCCGGGCUUAACCUGGGAACUGCGUUUGAAACUACAAGGCUAGAGUGUGGCAGAGGGGGGUGGAAUUCCACGUGUAGCAGGUGAAAUGCGUAGAGAUGUGGAGGAACACCGAUGGCGAAGGCAGCCCCUGGGUUAACACUGACGCUCAGGCACGAAAGCGUGGGGAGCAAACAGG